UACAGAGGGUGCAAGCGUUAAUCGGAAUUACUGGGCGUAAAGGGUUUGUAGGUGGCCACCUAAGUCAGACGUGAAAUCCCUCAGCUUAACUGGGGAACUGCGUCUGAUACUGGGUGGCUUGAGUGCAGGAGAGGAAUGCGGAAUUCCAGGUGUAGCGGUGAAAUGCGUAGAUAUCUGGAGGAACACCGGUGGCGAAGGCGGCAUUCUGGACUGUAACUGACACUGAGGAACGAAAGCCAGGGGAGCAAACGGGG
rnacentral:rRNA from 1 species